GAUGAAGAACGCAGCGAAAUGCGAUACGUAGUGUGAAUUGCAGAAUUCAGUGAAUCAUCGAAUCUUUGAACGCACAUUGCACCUCUCGGUAUUCCGGGAGGUAUGCCUGUUCGAGCGUCAUUUGUACCCUCAAGCUCUGCUUGGUGUUGGGUGUUUGUUCCGCCUCUGUGUGUGAACUCGCCUCAAAACAAUUGGCAGCCGGCGUACUUGUUUCGGAGCGCAGCACAUUUUGCGAUACAGAUCAACGUACAGCGGCAUCCAAGAAGCCUUAUUUAACGCUCUUGACCUCGGAUCAGGUAGGGAUACCCGCUGAACUUAAGCAUAUCAAUAAGCGGAGGA
rnacentral:misc_RNA from 1 species